UUAGCUCAGUUGGUUAGAGCGCUCCGCUCAUAACGGAGUGGUCCGGAGUGAGUAACACACAACAAUCCUUAUUUUCUCCCAAUAACCUCCA
rnacentral:tRNA from 1 species